AGCAGAAUGGUGUAGUGGUUUGAGCAUUGGACUAGGACUCUGGAGACCAGGGUUCAAAUCCCUGCUUGGCCA